rnacentral:rRNA from 1 species
GACGAACGCUGGCGGCGUGCUUAACACAUGCAAGUCGAACGGAAAGGCCUGCUUUCCGUUGUGGAUUGCGGGUACUCGAGUGGCGAACGGACGAGUAACACGUGCGUGUUCUGCACCGAACUUGGGUAUAAGCCUGGGAAACUAGGUCUAAUUCUCGAUAGGACCGCAGGGUGGUGUCGGUGGUGGAGAACGAUUUGCUAGUGGUUGGGGAUGAGCUCGCGGCGUAUCAGGUUGUUGGUGGGGUAUUGGCCUACCAAGGCGGCGACGGGUAGCCUGCGUGGGAGGGUCGACGGGCACACUGGAACGGAGACACGGCCCCGACUCGUACGGGAAGUAGCAGAGGGGAGUAAGGAGCGGUGAGCGUAAGACAGCUGCAGCGACGCCGCGUGGGGGAUGACGGGCUUCGGGUUCUGAACUCCUUGGGACCAACAGAUGGCCACGUGGUUGGACGGGUGGUGACGGUAGUGGUAGAAGAAGCACCGGCUAACUACGUG